UACGUAGGUGGCAAGCGUUAUCCGGAAUUAUUGGGCGUAAAGGGAGCGCAGGCGGUUUAUUAAGUUUAUGGUGAAAGUUCGGGGCUCAACCCCGUGAUGCCAUAGAAACUGGUAGACUUGAGUGCAGGAGAGGUUAGUGGAAUUCCAUGUGUAGCGGUAAAAUGCGUAGAUAUAUGGAGGAACACCAGUGGCGAAGGCGGCUGACUGGCCUGUAACUGACGCUGAGGCUCGAAAGCGUGGGGAGCAAAUA
rnacentral:rRNA from 1 species